UGAGGAAUAUUGGUCAAUGGGCGAGAGCCUGAACCAGCCAAGUAGCGUGAAGGAUGACUGCCCUAUGGGUUGUAAACUUCUUUUAUAAAGGAAUAAAGUCGGGUAUGGAUACCCGUUUGCAUGUACUUUAUGAAUAAGGAUCGGCUAACUCCGUGCCAGCAGCCGCGGUAAUACGGAGGAUCCGAGCGUUAUCCGGAUUUAUUGGGUUUAAAGGGAGCGUAGAUGGAUGUUUAAGUCAGUUGUGAAAGUUUGCGGCUCAACCGUAAAAUUGCAGUUGAUACUGGAUAUCUUGAGUGCAGUUGAGGCAGGCGGAAUUCGUGGUGUAGCGGUGAAAUGCUUAGAUAUCACGAAGAACUCCGAUUGCGAAGGCAGCCUGCUAAGCUGCAACUGACAUUGAGGCUCGAAAGUGUGGGUAUCAAACAGGAUUAGAUACCCUGGUAGUCCACACGGUAAACGAUGAAUACUCGCUGUUUGCGAUAUACUGCAAGCGGCCAAGCGAAAGCGUUAAGUAUUCCACCUGGGGAGUACACCGGCAACGGUGAAACUCAAAGGAAUUGACGGGGGCCCGCACAAGCGGAGGAACAUGUGGUUUAAUUCGAUGAUACGCGAGGAACCUUACCCGGGCUUAAAUUGCAGAUGAAUUACGGUGAAAGCCGUAAGCCGCAAGGCAUCUGUGAAGGUGCUGCAUGGUUGUCGUCAGCUCGUGCCGUGAGGUGUCGGCUUAAGUGCCAUAACGAGCGCAACCCUUGUUGUCAGUUGCUAACAGGUUCCGCUGAGGACUCUGACAAGACUGCCAUCGUAAGAUGUGAGGAAGGUGGGGAUGACGUCAAAUCAGCACGGCCCUUACGUCCGGGGCUACACACGUGUUACAAUGGGGGGUACAGAGGGCCGCUACCACGCGAGUGGAUGCCAAUCCCCAAAACCUCUCUCAGUUCGGACUGGAGUCUGCAACCCGACUCCACGAAGCUGGAUUCGCUAGUAAUCGCGCAUCAGCCACGGCGCGGUGAAUACGUUCCC
rnacentral:rRNA from 1 species